UGCUAGUCGCACGAGUUUAGACUCGUGGCAGAUAGCUCAGUAACACGUGGCCAAACUACCCUGUCGAUCGGGACACCCUCGGGAAACUGAGGCUAAUCCCGGAUACGGCUCGCUGCCUGGAGUUGGCGCGAGCUCGAAACGUUCAGGCGCGACAGGAUGUGGCUGCGGCCGAUUAGGUAGACGGUGGGGUAACGGCCCACCGUGCCGAUAAUCGGUACGGGUUGUGAAAGCAAGAGCCCGGAGACGGAAUCUGAGACAAGAUUCCGGGCCCUACGGGGCGCAGCAGGCGCGAAACCUUUACACUGCACGCGAGUGCGAUAGGGGGACUCCAAGUGCGAGGGCAUACAGUCCUCGCUUUUUGCGACCGUAAGGAGGUCGCGGAAUAAGUGCUGGGCAAGACCGGUGCCAGCCGCCGCGGUAAUACCGGCAGCACGAGUGAUGACCGCUAUUAUUGGGCCUAAAGCGUCCGUAGCCGGCCAGGCAAGUCCAUCGGGAAAUCCGCACGCCUAACGUGCGGGCGUCCGGUGGAAACUGCUUGGCUUGGGACCGGAAGAUCCAGAGGGUACGUCCGGGGUAGGAGUGAAAUCCCGUAAUCCUGGACGGACCACCGGUGGCGAAAGCGCUCUGGAAAGACGGAUCCGACGGUGAGGGACGAAAGCUUGGGUCACGAACCGGAUUAGAUACCCGGGUAGUCCAAGCUGUAAACGAUGUCUGCUAGGUGUGGCACAGGCUACGAGCCUGUGCUGUGCCGUAGGGAAGCCGUGAAGCAGACCGCCUGGGAAGUACGUCUGCAAGGAUGAAACUUAA
rnacentral:rRNA from 1 species